rnacentral:lncRNA from 1 species
CCCGCAAAUCUCCUCUUGUUUUUCUCUUUCCUGACCGACGGUGACCCCCUCUCGGUGCCUCCUCCUGACCGACGGUGACCCCCUUCCGGUGCAUCCUUCCCAACGUUCUCCACUCUCCACGCAUUCUCCUUCCCGACGUCUUAACCCCAUCGGUGCCUCCUACGCCAUGGUCCCAAGCAUGCCGCCUUAGCACCAUGUUGCCCGCGGCCACCCCGACCCCACCGGUGC